UCUCCGUUGGUGAACCAGCGGAGGGAUCAUUACAGAGUUGCAAAACUCCCAAACCAUUGUGAACGUUACCUUUCCCGUUGCUUCGGCGGGCGGCCCGGGCCCCGCGCCCGGCGCCACCCGGCCCCCCGUGGGCGCCCGCCGGAGGUAAACCAAACCCUUGAAUUGCAUGGCCUCUCUGAGUCCUCUGUACUGAAUAAGUCAAAACUUUCAACAACGGAUCUCUUGGUUCUG
rnacentral:misc_RNA from 1 species